GAUGAAGAACGUAGCGAAAUGCGAUAAGUAAUGUGAAUUGCAGAAUUCAGUGAAUCAUCGAAUCUUUGAACGCACAUUGCGCCCCUUGGUAUUCCGAGGGGCAUGCCUGUUCGAGCGUCAUUUCACCACUCAAGCCUCGCUUGGUAUUGGGCGCCGCGGUGUUCCGCGCGCCUCAAAGUCUCCGGCUGAGCUGUCCGUCUCUAAGCGUUGUGAUUUCAUUAAUCGCUUCGGAGCGCGGGCGGUCGCGGCCGUUAAAUCUUUCAUAAGGUUGACCUCGGAUCAGGUAGGGAUACCCGCUGAACUUAAGCAUAUCAAUAAGCGGAGGA
rnacentral:misc_RNA from 1 species